AUCGGACGAGGUUUAUCUUUCCUUUUGCAGUGCCUCCUGGAGACUUGCGACCUCGGCGAUCUUCUCCUUGAGACGGGCGACCUCGGUCAGGCGACCUUCCUUCGUCUGGGCUGCCUCCUUCUUGGAAUUCUUUAUCGCCUUGAUGUUGGCGACUAGCUGGUGUCCAAUCUGCAAGAGCGGCCGAGGAGCCAAUGUAAAAGCUAAGGAAUAAACUAAGUAAAGAAGUGAGAAGAAGAAAAAAAUGAAUUGCCCUACCUCGAGGAAGGAUCCC
rnacentral:lncRNA from 1 species